GGCCCUACGGGGGGCUGCAGUGGGGAAUAUUGGACAAUGGGCGCAAGCCUGAUCCAGCCAUACCGCGUGGGUGAAGAAGGCCUUCGGGUUGUAAAGCCCUUUUGUUGGGAAAGAAAAGCAGUCGGUUAAUACCCGAUUGUUCUGACGGUACCCAAAGAAUAAGCACCGGCUAACUUCGUGCCAGCAGCCGCGGUAAUACGAAGGGUGCAAGCGUUACUCGGAAUUACUGGGCGUAAAGCGUGCGUAGGUGGUUGUGUAAGUCUGUCGUGAAAGCCCUGGGCUCAAACUGGGAAUUGCGAUGGAAACUGGGCGACUAGAGUGUGGCAGAGGGUAGUGGAAUUCCUGGUGUAGCAGUGAAAUGCGUAGAGAUCAGGAGGAACAUCCGUGGCGAAGGCGACUGCCUGGGCCAACACUGACACUGAGGCACGAAAGCGUGGGGAGCAAACAGGAUUAGAUACCCCGGUAGUC
rnacentral:rRNA from 1 species